AGGGAGAGGUGAGUACCACGUCAGCACUCACAUUCACUGCCAUUACCUGCCACCAGCAGCACUCCAGGAGAUGUGGGUAAAAUAAACAACAGAAAAAUCAGAAGCCAGGAAAGUUGAAUUGCUCUGUGUUUUAUUUGAAGGGUGUGGAAGGAAACCCUGGAGGAAGGAAACGACCUCGCUCGGCUGGUAAGAGAAUGAGAGUUAGAGACAAACUACAAGUUAGUGAGCUCUUUACUAGCCUUUCAACAACGAGUUAGCACAGCAGAAUAGAUCUGUUGUGAAAUUACACCAAUGGGACUUCCUGUUUCAUACUGCAGGCCUGGGAAGUAAACACUUGCCUAAAAAUGAUGAACAUAGAGCACGAGGCUUUCUGCAAGCUCCGCCGCUCCAUGCACCGCACCUCGCCAGCUGACAUCGAUCCGAAGGUCCACAGCAUCGUGGAGAGAGCUGUGAGGAGCAUUCUGGGCGAGCAGUCCAAAGAGCCCAGUAGCAACCUGCUCAGCCCAUCUCAGGUGGUGGUGGAGGUGGUGCCCAGGCUCCUCCUGGCCCUGUGGCUUCAGCCAGAGGAAGGCCAUUCCGAGCACCCAAUCCUAAUAGGUGGGAUGGCCGUGGGCAUGGUGGCGGCCGUAGUGGAGAAGCUCUCCUGCAUGUUAAAGGACCCUUCCCCUCACAUCCCUUUCUCCCGGGCUGCUGCGUUUGACUCUGUGUGGUCGAUCCUCGGUAGAAUCAGUCAGUCCUUCUCCACCGAUGACCUGCAGAGCCCUUUUUAUACGAGCUCUGUUUGUGCCUUUGUGGCGGACGAGGUGCAGAGCUGCUUCCAGCCCUCUGCAGCCCCCCUACCAGUCCCCCCUGUCCUCGCGGUGGCCGCUUCCACCACACUACCAGCUGACAUCCAAGCAGACCCGGCUUCUUCCCACCUCGAGGUUGUAGACAUCACCCCUAACACAGAGGCAUAUCAGGCUUCUUUCCACCUGGAGGUUGUAGACAUCACCCGUAAGACAGAGGCAGACCCGGCAUCUUCCCACCUGGAGGUUGAGGACAUCACCACUAACACAGAGGCAGACCCAGCAUCUUCCCACCUGGAGGUUGAGGACAUCACCACUAACACAGAGGCAGAUCAGGCUUCUUCCCACCUGGAGGUUGUGGACAUCACCCGUAAGACAGAGGCAGACCCGGCAUCUUCCCACCUGGAGGUUGUGGACAUCACCUGUAAGACAGAGGCAGAUCCGGCUUCUUCGCACCUGAAUGUUGUGGACAUCACCAGUAACACAGAGGCAGAUCCGGCUUCUUCCCACCUGAAUGUUGUGGACAUCGCCUCUAAUACAGAGGCAGACCCGGCUUCUUCCCACCUGAAUGUUGUGGACAUAACCCCUAAUACAGAGGCAGAGCCCAUCUCUUCCCUCUUGGAGGUUGUGGACGUCACACCUGAAGAAAGGACUCUCACGAUGGCCUUCUUCGGCACUCUGCCAGCUGACAUCCAAGCAGGUGAGUAACACUUAGAGAGCACUCUGACAGGUGCCGUUUGUCAUGACAUCUUAGUAGAACCUUUCAACUGGCCAGUGUUUAGAAGCUACGGUUGGCAUUUGUUUUCAUUCUGUUCCUUUUUUUCCCCUUUCCAGAGGAUGUUGCUGUGGUCAUCCCGGAUGUCACCAAGGACAUGACACUGGAUGUUCCAUGCAGAGCUAGGAAAGGGGCAGUCCGGCGAUUAUUUUGCAGGCUUUGGAGGGCAGUGUGCUGCUGCGCCUGCCACAAGGAAGAGGAGGAACAAUGUUAAUUAUUCAUCAGACCUUCAGAAAUGGGAUUGAACCAUAGAUCAUUAAAUU
ensembl:lncRNA